CCAUUUUUAAAAAAAUUAUAUUUCACUUUAUGUGCCGACCUAAUUAUUUUGCGUUUUAUUACUUGCUUAUAUAUAUUUAUAUAUUUGUUUCUACCAUAUACUAGCUACAUUUACUGGUAUAUUCUAGACAUAUGCAAUCUUUGAGGUGUAUCUGAAAACAUACCAUGGAUACCACACUAGGACCUCAAUUUAAUAAGUUUCC